AAUAUACUCCCUCCGUUCCGAAUUACUUGUCUUGGAUUUGUCUAGAUACGGAUGUAUCUAGCACUAAAAUGAGUCUAGAUACAUCCGUAUCUAGACAAAUCUGAGACAAGUAAUUCGGAACGGAGGGAGUACAUG
rnacentral:pre_miRNA from 1 species